rnacentral:rRNA from 1 species
AGUGAACGCUGGCGGUAGGCCUAACACAUGCAAGUCGAACGGCAGCACAGUAAGAGCUUGCUCUUACGGGUGGCGAGUGGCGGACGGGUGAGGAAUAUAUCGGAAUCUACUUUUUCGUGGGGGAUAACGUAGGGAAACCUACGCUAAUACCGCAUACGACCUACCGGUGAAAGCAUGGGAUCUUCGGACCUUGUGCGAAUGAAUGCGCCGCUGUUGGUUUGGCUGGUUGGCGGGGUAAUGACCCACCAAGUCGACGAUCCGUAGCUGGUCUGAGAGGCUGGUCAGCCGCAUUGGAGCGUGAACGCGGACCAUGCUCCUGCGGGAGGCAGCAGUGGGGAAUAUUGGGCAAUGGGCGCAAGCCUGAUCCAGCCACAGCGCGUGGGUUAAGAAAGCGUUCGGGUUGUGAAGCCCUUUUGUUGGGAAAGAAAAGCAGCAGGUUAAUACCCCGCUGUUCUGACGGUAACCAAAAAAUAAGCACCGGCUAACUACGUG